rnacentral:lncRNA from 1 species
AAGGUUCCCGUGUGGGGACCUUGCCCCCAGAGUGGAGUGUUGGAACACGGUGUGGACGUUUAAGGGGUGAGGCCUAGUGGACAUCCGUAGGUCACUGGGGGCAUGGCGGAGAGGAAUUGUGAAACCCGUCUUCCUCUGCUGCCUGGCGCCAGAUGUGACUGCUCGCUCUGACACUUGCUCCCAUUAUUACCAUCCUCCAUCCGCCAUCCGCCAUGACAUCUUCACCAGAAUGUCGAUGCAGGCACCGUGUCCUUGGACCUCCCAAACCGUGAGCCCAGUAAACUUCCUUUUUUCAAAACAGCCUAUGUCAGGUAUUUUGUAAAAAUGAUGAAAAGCAAACCAACAGGGAUGUGUCACAGGAUUACUAUAGGAUUAAGUACUUGAAUACGCACCAUGCAGGACAAAGUAAAUGUUCAAGAAACCUACACUAUUUUGAGGAUGAUAAUGAUACCCUCUCACCUGAGUUAAAACACCAUAACCAACAGCCUGGAUCCAUUCACUGGUAAAAAGAGGAAAGACAGACUUCAUCUCCUGUAAAAUCACAUGGGGACACAUUCUGCUGUGGUGAUGGAGAGCCCUGAUGUGCCCUACAUUCAUGCUUAGCUAGAAGAAAAGCACCACACACAUCGGAUUAGCAGAGAAGCUCUGGAAAUUCUGAAGGACUCAGGCUUAAUAGGGGCUCGGGAAUCUGGACAACAACAGGGCCCAGUGUAAACACAGUAAAAACAGAACAGAAGGCCUUUUAGAAAAGCCGUAAGGCUAGAAAAAAUCCUCCCUUGCUGUAAAACAAACAAAAAAAAAAACAACCACCAUCUAAUUUAAGCGUCUCACUUAGAAGGACCCUGUAAGGUCAGAAGUCACUGCCCCUCCCUGCCAAAGACCACGGAGGCUCUGACCAUGGAGGCAACAUGUACAGGAUCCCUGAGGACAGAGGCAGG